rnacentral:rRNA from 1 species
UAGUCCACGCCCUAAACGAUGGAUACUAGACGUUGGAUUAACUAAUAGAUUCAGUGUCGUAGCUAACGCGUUAAGUAUCCCGCCUGGGGAGUACGGUCGCAAGAUUAAAACUCAAAGGAAUUGACGGGGGCCCGCACAAGCGGUGGAGCAUGUGGUUUAAUUCGAUGCUACGCGAAAAACCUUACCUAGAUUUGACAUCCUGCGCUACCCUGCGAAAGCAGGGGUUCCUUCGGGACGCAGUGACAGGUGCUGCAUGGCUGUCGUCAGCUCGUGUUGUGAGAUGUUGGGUUAAGUCCCGNAACGAGCGCAACCCUUGUCGUUAGUUACCAUCAUUAAGUUGGGCACUCUAACGAGACCGCUAGGCUAUAAGCCAGAGGAAGGUGGGGAUGACGUCAAGUCCUCAUGGCCUUUAUAUCUAGGGCUACACACGUGCUACAAUGGAAAGUACAGAGCGUCGCGAGCUCGCAAGAGUCAGCUAAUCGCAAAAACUUUUCUCAGUUCGGAUUGG